rnacentral:rRNA from 1 species
GGUGAUCUACCCAUGUCCAGGGUGAAGUUCAGGUAACACUGAAUGGAGGCCCGAACCCACGCACGUUGAAAAGUGCGGGGAUGAGGUGUGGGUAGCGGAGAAAUUCCAAUCGAACCUGGAGAUAGCUGGUUCUCCCCGAAAUAGCUUUAGGGCUAGCCUUAAGUGUAAGAGUCUUGGAGGUAGAGCACUGAUUGGACUAGGGGUCCUCAUCGGAUUACCGAAUUCAGUCAAACUCCGAAUGCCAAUGACUUAUCCUUAGGAGUCAGACUGCGAGUGAUAAGAUCCGUAGUCAAAAGGGAAACAGCCCAGACCGCCAGCUAAGGUCCCAAAGUGUGUAUUAAGUGGAAAAGGAUGUGGAGUUGCUUAGACAACUAGGAUGUUGGCUUAGAAGCAGCCACCAUUU